GGAUGCUUGAUGGAGCAGUUCGCGCCGUGGUGCGCGCGCGCCAGGGCUUAGGCUCCAAGUAAAGGCCUUCUUCAUCCAUCCACCCACAACCAGGUAAGUCAUUGCCUCCACCCUCGGAUCCGUUCGCUAUAGGCAGGUGAACGGCUGGUAUUUUAUGGACACUGCGGAGCAGGGAGGGAAGUGAAAGUGUGAGGCAAUGCAGGGGUCCUGGGAGGUCGGUGCCACCUCAGUGCCCACGGGCCUCAGAGUGGGGACAUGAGCGCGGGGCGAGGGGAGGUGAUGCUGGGACCCCGGUUGUGUACCCCAAGUUGCCGGUAAGGGUGCACCUGACCUCCGAUCCGCAUUUUCUCUUUCCCACAGCUCGACCUGGGACUCCUGGCUCAGGCUUGGCGUGGGCUCCAUCCCACCGCGAUGCUAGCAUGCGUAUUGGGGUGCCUUGUCUUGGGGUGGGAGAACCUGUUGUAAGAAAUUGUUUGUGGUAUAGUCGAAAAUGACAGAAAUUUAGUCUGAAGUCUUGAGUUUAGGUCCAGGCUUUCCACUACUGUGCAUUCCUGGGCCGCUUGCUUAACCUCUCUGGACCCAGCCUCCUCAUCUUGCAGAGAGAAGUUCUAUUAUGAACUAAGUGGGUUGUUGGCGUUUGGUAAGAUGUAGAGUUGGAAGAUCUUUAUAAAGUAGAAGAAGCCUUAUUUUUGGUUGUCUAUUGUUAUUAGAACAUUUUGGCACUGUCUGGGGAAAGUCAGCCGGCACCUCAGCUGACUGGGGCGUAUGUUCCCGCAGAAGGAGACCCGGGCGGGGUCAAACAGGUUGAACCAUUGCCCUCUUCUGCUCAGAACAGGUGUCCCCAGCCUCGGGGAAAGACAUUUGGAAGGAAAAGCAGGGGGCGUCAGUGACCCUCCGAGGGCUGCAGAGGCUAGCCAUGUGCUCCUCUGAGGCCUUAAUCCCAGUAUCCCAAACAAGCCGCUCAGGACUGGGUCCCCGGCAGAUCGCCGCCCGAACUCGGCCCCCAGUUCGUUUCUUCCAGCGCUUGGCCUGGGCUCACCGCGCGCCCUCACCCCGGUCCAGCUGCGCCUAGAGUUCACUCGGGGCAGCAGAGGACCCGCGAGUAGGCGCUCAGACAGACAGACGCCGCGGUGCCGGGCGGUCUCCGGCUGCGCCCGGGUCUGCGAAUCAAAGGAGAAGCGUCCUUCUCUCACCCUCUCACCCCGCUCCGCUGGCUAGCCAAGCACGGAACCCGCCAGGCUCUGGCCAACCGGCUCACAUGGCCCGGAGCCCAGAGGCUCGCUGAGGCGGCUUCUCUUUACUUUAAACAGGGGGCCUCAUAAGACCUGUUGAGGGGCCCUGCAACACUGUAUACAGAAUCGCCUAUUUAAGUAAGUGCUUUUCUCUCUCUCUCUCUUUUUGGUACAUCUUUCUAAAGUCAGGUUCUCAGUGGGAUCCACAUUCCCUCUGAGGUUAAGAACCAUCCUUCUCCACCAGAAGCUCAGGGAGUUGUCGAUGCAGGAUGGAACAUUACAAGAUUACAGGCCCCAGGUGGUGGUUUACACCUGUAAUUCCAGCACUUUGGGAGGCUCAGGCGGGAGGAUCACUUGAGUCCCGGAGUUCAAGACCAGCCUGGGCAACAUGAGACUUCCACCUCAACAAAAAA
ensembl:lncRNA novel transcript